GACGAACGCUGGCGGCGUGCCUAAUACAUGCAAGUAGAACGCUGAAGAGAGGAGCUUACUCUUCUUGGAUGAGUUGCGAACGGGUGAGUAGCGCGUAGGUAACCUGCCUUGUAGCGGGGGAUAACUAUUGGAAACGAUAGCUAAUACCGCAUAACAAUGGAUGACACAUGUCAUUUAUUUGAAAGGGGCAAUUGCUCCACUACAAGAUGGACCUGCGUUGUAUUAGCUAGUAGGUGAGGUAAUGGCUCACCUAGGCGACGAUACAUAGCCGACCUGAGAGGGUGAUCGGCCACACUGGGACUGAGACAAGGCCCAGACUCCUACGGGAGGCAGCAGUAGGGAAUCUUCGGCAAUGGGGGCAACCCUGACCGAGCAACGCCGCGUGAGUGAAGAAGGUUUUCGGAUCGUAAAGCUCUGUUGUAAGUCAAGAACGGGUGUGAGAGUGGAAAGUUCACACUGUGACGGUAGCUUACCAGAAAGGGACGGCUAACUACGUG
rnacentral:rRNA from 1 species